rfam:Aedes albopictus isolate Foshan contig133696, whole genome shotgun sequence.
GGCUCGGUAGCUUAGUUGGAAAAGCACUUUUCUAGCGAAUAAGGGCUGUGAGUUCAAAUCUCACCUGAGCUG